AUUGAACGCUGGCGGAAUGCUUUACACAUGCAAGUCGAACGGUAGAGGGGGCAACCCCUCGAGAGUGGCGAACGGGUGAGUAAUAUAUCGGAACGUGCCCAGUCGUGGGGGAUAACGUAGCGAAAGUUACGCUAAUACCGCAUACGAUCUAAGGAUGAAAGCGGGGGAUCGCAAGACCUCGCGCGAUUGGAUCGGCCGAUAUCAGAUUAGGUAGUUGGUGGGGUAAAGGCUCACCAAGCCAACGAUCUGUAGGUGGUCUGAGAGGACGACCAGCCACACUGGAACUGAGACACGGUCCAGACUCCUACGGGAGGCAGCAGUGGGGAAUUUUGGACAAUGGACGCAAGUCUGAUCCAGCCAUUCCGCGUGCAGGAUGAAGGCCCUCGGGUUGUAAACUGCUUUUGUACGGAACGAAAAGGUCUCUCUUAAUACGGGGGACUCAUGACGGUACCGUAAGAAUAAGCACCGGCUAACUACGUGCCAGCCGCCGCCGUAA
rnacentral:rRNA from 1 species